UACGUAGGGUGCAAGCGUUAAUCGGAAUUACUGGGCGUAAAGCGUGCGCAGGCGGUUUUGUAAGACUGUCGUGAAAUCCCCGGGCUUAACCUGGGAACUGCAUUUGUGACUGCAUCGCUGGAGUGCGGCAGAGGGGGAUGGAAUUCCGCGUGUAGCAGUGAAAUGCGUAGAUAUGCGGAGGAACACCGAUGGCGAAGGCAAUCCCCUGGGCCUGCACUGACGCUCAUGCACGAAAGCGUGGGGAGCAAACAGG
rnacentral:rRNA from 1 species